rnacentral:misc_RNA from 1 species
AAAGAGGACCUAUCUGAGAAGCUGUCUUUAGCUUCUCAAGUGCCUUCUGCAGAUGGCAUGAGUUAUACUAAUGCUUCAGAUGAUGCUGAAACUGAUAGUAUUACCCUAUCUUCAGAAUAUUCUGUUGAAAUGCAUAGGAAACUACCUGCGGAAUGUGGCAGUGCUUCUCCUAUUAACCAGGAGGUCUCAAUUCUACAGGAAGCACUUCCAGAACCAUCACCAACAUCUUCUGCAGCUGCUUCUGUUGUUUUGGAGUAUCCUGCACCUGAACCUGAAUCAUCAAUAAGCUCCAAGGGAGCUGAUCAUCGUAGUCCCCUCUCUGUUUUAG